rnacentral:snoRNA from 1 species
UGAAAGCUAUGAUGAAUCAAGAAAAUUAUAUUCGCAUGCCAGACUUUAGAGAUGCCGUGGAAUUAAUGAGAAGAUGUUUCAUGUUCUGAGCAGUGA